rnacentral:rRNA from 1 species
GAUGAACGCUGGCGGCGUGCCUAAUACAUGCAAGUCGAGCGAACAGACGAGGAGCUUGCUCCUCUGACGUUAGCGGCGGACGGGUGAGUAACACGUGGAUAACCUACCUAUAAGACUGGGAUAACUUCGGGAAACCGGAGCUAAUACCGGAUAAUAUAUUGAACCGCAUGGUUCAAUAGUGAAAGACGGUUUUGCUGUCACUUAUAGAUGGAUCCGCGCCGCAUUAGCUAGUUGGUAAGGUAACGGCUUACCAAGGCAACGAUGCGUAGCCGACCUGAGAGGGAGGACGACCAGACGGGAAGUGAGACACGGUCGAGACUCCUACGGGAGGCAGCAGUAGGGAAUCUUCCGCGAUGGGCGAAAGCCUGACGGAGCAACGCCGCGUGAGUGAUGAAGGUCUUCGGAUCGUAAAACUCUGUUAUUAGGGAAGAACAAAUGUGUAAGUAACUAUGCACGUCUUGACGGUACCUAAUCAGAAAGCCACGGCUAACUACGUG